GACCGGUGAUGUGACCAAAAUAUUUGCUACUCUCGAUGGGGCAAGUGCCCCGCCUAAUGACCAUGAACUGCCAAGAUCUCUAAGGCC
rfam:Zea mays cultivar B73 chromosome 2, whole genome shotgun sequence.